CAGUUACGGCAGCUGCCAGUUCCCCACACUGGGCUUUGUGGUGGAGCGGUUCAAAGCCAUUCAGGCUUUUGUACCAGAAAUCUUCCACAGAAUUAAAGUAACUCAUGACCACAAAGAUGGUAUCGUAGAAUUCAACUGGAAAAGGCAUCGACUCUUUAACCACACGGCUUGCCUAGUUCUCUAUCAGUUGUGUGUGGAGGAUCCCAUGGCAACUGUGGUAGAGGUCAGAUCUAAGCCCAAGAGCAAGUGGCGGCCUCAAGCCUUGGACACUGUGGAGCUUGAGAAGCUGGCUUCUCGAAAGUUGAGAAUAAAUGCUAAAGAAACCAUGAGGAUUGCUGAGAAGCUCUACACUCAAGGGGAGAUGAACAGCGACUGUACGAGUUUAUUGUUCGCCAUUUCCUGGCUUGCUGCUCCCAGGAUGCUCAGGGGCAGGAGACCACAGUGGAGAUCGACAUCGCUCAGGAACGCUUUGUGGCCCAUGGCCUCAUGAUUCUGGCCCGAAACUAUCUGGAUGUGUAUCCAUAUGAUCACUGGAGUGACAAGAUCCUCCCUGUCUAUGAGCAAGGAUCCCACUUUCAGCCCAGCACCGUGGAGAUGGUGGACGGGGAGACCAGCCCACCCAAGCUGCUCACCGAGGCCGACCUCAUUGCCCUCAUGGAGAAGCAUGGCAUUGGUACGGAUGCCACUCAUGCGGAGCACAUCGAGACCAUCAAAGCCCGGAUGUACGUGGGCCUCACCCCAGACAAGCGGUUCCUCCCUGGGCACC
rnacentral:lncRNA from 1 species